AAAGAGUGAGCUGGCAUGCAAAUAAAUAUAUCACAGGGAUGCAGUUAAUGAAGUGCAAUAAAAAAACCAAAAAAACUCCAUUCCGGUAGCAGUAGAGAUAAAAUUGUCUCUUGGACCAAAGGACCAAUCUAAAAUAUUAAUCUGAAAAUAUAUUCAGUAUUUGCAAUUACAAGCAUUCCUUGUUAGAGCAAGAGAGAUGAAGAGGAAUAUUGAGAAGUGCUUCUCUGAGAACAUUAUUUUAGAGAGGUUUUUAUCACUUAGAGCUUUCAGAGCACCUCUUCCUCUCCCUCUCUCUCUCUCUCUUGAGCCUGACAGCCUGUACAUGCCACCAUUCCUCUACAGGGAAUGCCUGGUUAAUGGGCCUCCAGCCACACAUGAGUCUCCUGGGAAAAGUAUGCAAGGGUGUGGAGCAGCAGUGGGACUUGGGUGCCAGGAGGACCUCGGAGCAGAAGGAGCUGCCCACUGGUGUGGGGAUGAGUGUGGGUGGCAGUGAGAAAGAAGACAACUUGCCCUGAAAACACCUUGGCUUCAGGGGAAGCAAAAUGCGACACAAGCCAGAGACAUUCAGAGGAAAUGCAAGAGUUUGAGAACCAGGAUGAGGAGCUUAUUUUCAAUACAAUGUCCUCUGCCUAGCCUUUUAAAGGGAUAAGGUACCAGAAGUCUCUGUUAAUAGCAUGGCCCAUAUGUUGCCCUCACUAAACAGCACAGUGUGGAGCAAAGGAAUAAAACCACAAGAAAGAUGAAGCCAGAAUAGGAAUGGCAAGUCAAAAAAGAGAACAGAACAACUUCCAUAAUGAGACCAGCAACAGAAACUCUACUGGACAAUGGCCAAUGGAUCCUAUAUUUUGUUUUUUUAUUCUCUGCCGCUCAUGAUCUGAAAAUUCAAACUCUUCAUUGAAGUUUUAAGAGUCAUUUGUUAUGAAAAGCAAAUUCCAAUCAAAUGUUUAAUGAAUGUUGGAACAAGGCAUGGAUCAGCAGAAUGAGGCAAGACUGCCAAAUAUGCUUUUAGAGGGCUUAAAACAUAAUGGAGUCCAACCCUUUUGCACAGGCUUCCCGUUUUGAUGUGUAAGUUGCUACAAGUUAAAGUUUUUCCAGGGAAGAUGCUCUAUGCUUUGAAGAAGCUGUUUUUAGAACAAAGGGUCCUGGGAUUCACUGUCAUGAGUUUUAACCCUAGUACUCAAGGCAUCCUCCAUGAUUUUUGGGGCAGAUAUAUGCAGGAUGAAAGCUGACAUCAAAAGAAAGAUGCACCUGAAGAAAGAAUGGUGAAAGGAAUGGAUCUGCCACAGCUUACAGUCCCAGUGGCUGCAGAUGAGCUGCAGAUGAGAUGCAUAAGUAGGUGGGCAUUAAAAAAGGGUUGUGUUUCUUAGGCCAAAGCUGAACACUCUUCUGUCUACUGCAUCAUGUUCUCAGACCAGAAAAGCUUAAAUUUGUUUGUUUCCAUUAAAAUCGAAGAUUUAGACUCAUUUCCAUCAGCAAAGAAACAAAUGGGUUGGCAAGGGUUUCGUCAUGUGAACAGUUUUUUUGGAUAAACUGAUGGACAAUUUAUUCAUCAUUUUGUCAAAAAAAAAAAAGGUAAGAAGAAGAAUCCAGAUGAAUCUUUUCAAAUUUUGGGGUACAAUAUUUCCCUCAGCAGGCAGUAAAAAAGUAAAAAGUUAAAAAAUAUCUGGCUUGGUUUUUUUCUCCUGUUGGGUACAGGGCUAUUGAGUAGCUUGCACCAGAAAGCAUCUCUCCAUAGGAAAAAAAUAAAAUUCAUUUAGCAUUUACUCUCAAAUGGGAAAGCCCAUAACUCAGUUGAAAGUUUUUCAUGCUGAAUAUCUUCAAACAGCAAACUAAUAGUAUGCUUUCUUAUUUAUUAUGACUGAUUUUUAUUUAUUUUUCUAAUUGCACUUCAUUAAAUAUAUCCCCAGGGAAACUAUAUCAAAGUUGUCUCCAUGUAAAUGUAAUGUAACAAGUUGAAAUGUUACUCCCUGUCAUUGAGAUAUCCAUAACACAUCCUAGACUAAUCAAGUAGGAGUGACACUUAAAAAUAGUUCAAGAGCCUAAAGCGUUUUUCUAUCUGAACAGCGAAGGGCAAGUAUUUAGUUCCAGAGCUACAGCCCACCCACAGCAAAUACAGGCAUUUUUACUUUCUAAAGUAGUCUUUAUUGUUCUAGGUCUUUUUUGGGUUUGGGUUUUUUUUUUUUUUUCAGUAAUAUAGUCCAUGAUCUUUCAAUAUUGACGUACCUUCAUGCAGUAUUUCCAUAUUUUUUGGAUAUUAUCAUAAUGAUAUUAAGUAUAAUAAGUAUCAUAAUUGUAGUCUUGAAAUUCUCUUGCCGUAUUGUGUAAUAACAGUAGUCCCUUCUCUUUGACAGAAUAUUUCUUGACAAUGAGGAAGAGGCAAGCCUUGGAAGGAAAUUGUAGACAUGAAGGAUUUUCAGUCUACACUUUCCAGGACCAAGCAGUCUGCCAGAUUCUCCAUGGAUACUCAUCACAAUUUGCCUUAAUUUCUUGACUCUUCAUGUUUGUUUGGGGGGAGGGGGUGGAGGUAGGGGUGUAGGGGAGUGGUGUUUACGAGCAUAAAUGCAAAAGGUGAGGCUUCAAUUAUUAUUUUAAUGAGAAGGUGGAAUGCCUGUUUUACCCUAUGGGAUACUCUCUUGCAAUGUACACAUGCCAGAAAUCAUGGUGAAUUUUUCCAAGUCAUAUAUUUUUUCAAGGUAAGUAAAAUUGUCUACAACACAUUGGCUUUCAUAUUGGCUUUGGGACUGGCUUUGAGACCCUGGCAUGGAAACACACAAUAUACAUUGAUGAAAGGAAUUGAUAUGGUCACAUUCCUUUGCAGUCUAGCUGUGAUUGGAAACAGUUAUAUAGUGACACAAGCUCUAUAGGGCAAUCAUGUGCUUCAGUGCUAAGGUUUUAGAAAGUCUAAAUUGUGAAUAAUACCACAUCUCUGUUCUCACUGUCUUUGUCACAAAUUAAGAAACUGUAAAAUCAUCCAGUAGUGAGUUGGGUGUACUGUGAAAUGCAAGUGGUUUAACCAAACCCAGAACAGAGUAAAGGUAUGCAUGCAAAAUAAACUUCUAAGUGAUUAAAAAGAAAACAAAAAUCACAUCGAGUAAAUAAAAUGCCUGUGAGAAAAAAAAGUGCAUCUCAUGACUAAAUACCCAAGCCAUACUUAUCACUCUUAAUUCAGCAUGCACAACAACAAGCUGAGGUGCCAUGCAGAAACACAGACAUGCAAAAAUCCAGUUUCAGUAGUUGCAAAACAAAAAAGGCGUUUCAUCAGAACAGCUUCUUGAUCUGCCAGAUUAGUGACUGGCAGGGAAAGCAGGGGAAGAGCAGGAAACAGACUUGUGGCACAAGGGGAAUAAAUAGAGUAGGUGCAGUUAACUUAGAGAAUUGUGCGCUCAGUUGUGCUGAAAGAGUGACCAAUUAGUGCCUGAAAUCCCUCCACAUGGGUGAGGAUUUCAAAUUCUCUAAUGUCAAAAAAAUAGUUAUGAAAACAAGUUUCAAAAUUUCUGCUAAAAUAGAAACCUUUCUCCUACCAGUAAAAAAUAAACUAUGAAUAAGAACAUUAGAAAUAGAACAAAAUAUAGGAAUAGCAAACAAAUUAUCAAAUACAAGGAAUAGACUAUAUCCAUUAAACUACAUGUCAGUGACCUUCUGCAUCAAAAAUGCUAUCUUGGACUUAAGAAAUGCCAGUAGAGAAAUAAAGGUAGCAGUCAGAACAAACAUUUUUAAAUAAUCAAGCUUUCCACCUAAGGUCUUAAUCUUUAUAAGGAAAACUUGGAAAAUAAAUCCUGAAAGAAAUGCAUAUUAAUUCUUUCUUUACAGGCAGACAAAAGGAGCAGAAAACAGUUUGGGCAGAGUGAUUUGUUAAUGCUGAGACAGCAUUGCCUCAGCUGAGCAACUGUAGUGCAGGGACAAAUAGGACCAGAAAAUCUAUGAAAGGUAGCUCAGCAGUUCCUCUGAGAUAUUGUCACUUAUAAUGAGCAUGUUAGACAGAAAAAAAAAAUAUUUUUAAAGCCCAUUUCUCAAGAGAUAAAAUCAGAAAGCAGUUUUUUAUACCAUGUGCAGGAAGUCUCAAGUGGUCUACCUCUAAAAUGUAUCAAUAGAACCCAACUGGUCACUGUUGCAGUCAUGAUAUUCAUGUGAAGAACUUCUGGAUUAGAAAAAAUGAGUUUAUGGCUAAAACUCCACUGUUAUCAUUGUAAAGUGCUGAGACCCUCAAAUACUUCUCUUUCAUAAAAAAUAAAAUAUUUCUCAGAAUUUAUUUGAUAUUGAUACAAUUAUUGUGGUUUAAAGGAGGACAUCUGUGAAAUUUGUCAGUAUCAAGGACAAAUACUUGCAGAAAAAAAAUCAGCAAAACAAGAAAGCCAGCUAAUGCUGCAUGAAGCAUCUUGGAAAAAUUCUUCCUUAUAUGGCUUCCUUGAAUUCCCUGUGUACAUUUAAUUCAUUUUUUAUAGCUAAGACUGCAUUGUCUUGAUGAAAUAUUGAGCAGGUGAAGAAUAUUUCAGCUUCAUUUUUUAAAAUCAACAUAAGAGCAUUAACUGACCUCCUACAGUGUGUGACUAACAAAAUGCAUUAUUUGAUAUAAUUUAAGAAAUGUAUUUAUUAAUGAAACCUAAGGAACUGAGUUUUGCUUUUAAUGUUAAUUUUUUGAGCACUAUAAAAUGCCAUAUUAAGUGAA